CGUCCUAUUAGCUAGUUGGUGAGGUAAUGGCUCACCAAGGCUACGAUGGGUAGGGGUUCUUAGUGGAAGGUCCCCCACACUGGCACUGAGAUACGGGCCAGACUCCUACGGGAGGCAGCAGUAGGGAAUAUUGGUCAAUGGGCGCAAGCCUGAACCAGCCAUGCCGCGUGCAGGAUGAAGGCUCUCUGAGUUGUAAACUGCUUUUGUACAGGAGCAAAAAAAUCCCUGCGGGGGUUCUUGAGAGUACUGUAAGAAUAAGCACCGGCUAAUUCCGUGCCAGCAGCCGCGGUAAUACGGGAGGUGCAAGCGUCAUCCGGUUUUAUUGGGUUUAAAGGGUGCGUAGGCGGCUUAUUAAGUCAGUUGUGAAAUCCUAGUGCUUAACGCUAGAACUGCGAUUGAUACUAUU
rnacentral:rRNA from 1 species